GACGUAGGAUGCGAGCGUUGUUCGGAUUCAUUGGGCGUAAAGGGUGCGUAGGCGGCGCGGUAAGUCGGGUGUGAAAUCUUGGAGCUUAACUCCGAAACUGCAUUCGAUACUGCCGUGCUUGAGGACUGGAGAGGAGACUGGAAUUUACGGUGUAGCGGUGAAAUGCGUAGAUAUCGUAAGGAAGACCAGUGGCGAAGGCGGGUCUCUGGACAGUUCCUGACGCUGAGGCACGAAGGCCAGGGGAGCAAACGGG
rnacentral:rRNA from 1 species